GAAUAUUGGACAAUGGGCGCAAGCCUGAUCCAGCUAUGCCGCGUGGAUGAAGAAGGCCUUCGGGUUGUAAAGUCCUUUCGUUGGUGACGAUAAUGACGGUAACCAAAGCAGAAGCCCCGGCUAAUUUCGUGCCAGCAGCCGCGGUAAUACGAAAGGGGCUAGCGUUGUUCGGAAUUACUGGGCGUAAAGCGCACGUAGGCGGCCUUGUAAGAUGGGGGUGAAAUCCCUGGGCUCAACCCAGGAACUGCCUUCAUGACUGCAAAGCUCGAGGAUGUGAGAGGUUGGCGGAAUUCCGAGUGUAGAGGUGAAAUUCGUAGAUAUUCGGAAGAACACCAGUGGCGAAGGCGGCCAACUGGCACAUUUCUGACGCUGAGGUGCGAAAGCGUGGGGAGCAAACAGG
rnacentral:rRNA from 1 species